CGUGCAGGCUGUUCUAUCGUCACGCCUCUGGCGUGGAGGAAAGUCGGGACAACACAGAGCACCAUACUUCCUAACAGGAAGGACUUCCGUGUGAAACGGGAGGACAGCAAGUGCCACAGAAAAUAACCGCCGAUGCCGGGGCUUUUCAAAGGGCUUCGGCAGGCAAGGGUGAAAACGUGGGGUAAGAGCCCACGCGAUGUUGUGGUGACACAGCACCGGGGUAAACCUUAUGGGUUGCAAGUCCAAGUAUGCCGGCGCUCCCGGAAUCCCGGGAAAAGGGCUGCUCGUCCGAUGCCGGCGGGUAGGAUGCUGGAGCCAUGCAGUGAUGUAUGGCCAAGAGAAAUGAUAGAACCCCGUCAAUUACGGGAGACAGAAUCCCGCUUACAGGCCUGCACGGCUU
rnacentral:RNase_P_RNA from 2 species